CCUGAGAAACCCGAAAGGUCGAAGGAGAAAUUCAUUCGCGUUUCGUAGUAAGCGUUUAGCGGUGUGUGCGACGAGACAGGCUUGCCUGUUUUGCGUCCUCCGUUUUUCGAUCUUGCAGCGAACGCGUGCACUUUUCUCCUAGUAGGACGUCGUGAUCCGUUGGGUGUCGAUUUACGAAUGUUGCGAUGGAGCCCGUUUGUAGCGUUCUUUUGAACGUUCCGUACUUACGAACUCGUACAUUCCAAUCGAUUCGCUCGACGGUAUAGUGAACGGUUAAGGGCCGCUUUUAUAGCGUUCGACUCGUUGGCAAGCGCGCUAGUUUGUUUGGCCAUCGGACCUGGUGCCGAUUUCAAACGCUAGUGACUGUUGGCUGCGAUGUUCUCGAACAGACUCUCUAAACCGAUCUACGACGCUAUAGCUUUGGGUAAUUUCAGGACCCGUCUUGAAACACGGACCAAGGAGUCUAGCAUGUACGCGAGUCAUUGGGAAUUAUUAAACCUAAAGGCGCAAUGAAAGUGAAGAUCUUUCUUUACGAAAGAUCGAGGGAAGAUGAUGAAUCCUAAGGGAUUUUUUCGCAUUCCCGGAGCGUCUCAUUCUCAUUGCGAGAGGAGGCGCACCAAGAGCGUACACGCUGGGACCCGAAAGAUGGUGAACUAUGCCUG
rnacentral:rRNA from 1 species